AACGUGAAUGCUAAGGUGUUAGGGGGUUUCCCAUACCCUUUGGUGCCCGAAGUUAACACAUUAAGCAUUCCGCCUGGGGAGUACGACCGCAAGACUGAAACUCAAAGGAAUUGACGGGGACCCGCACAAGCGGUGGAGUAUGUGGUUUAAUUCGAAGCAACGCGAAGAACCUUACCAGGUCUUGACAUCCCUUUGACCGUCCUAAAAAUAAGGUUUCCCUUCGGGGAAGAGGUGACAGGUGGUGCAUGGUUGUCGUCAGCUCGUGUCGUGAGAUGUUGGGUUAAGUCCCGCAACGAGCGCAACCCUUAUUUUUAGUUGCCAUCAUUGAGUUGGGCACUCUAGAGAGACUGCCGGUGACAAACCGGAGGAAGGUGGGGAUGACGUCAAAUCAUCAUGCCCCUUAUGACCUGGGCUACACACGUGCUACAAUGGGUGGUACAACGAGAAGCUAAACCGCGAGGUGGUGCGAAUCUUAUAAAGCUUCUCUCAGUUCGGAUUGCAGGCUGCAACUCGCCUGCAUGAAGUCGGAAUUGCUAGUAAUCGCGGAUCAGCACGCCGCGGUGAAUACGUUCCCGGGUCUUGUACACACCGCCCGUCACACCACGAGAGUUUACAACACCCGAAGUCGGUGAGGUAACCUUUUUGAACCCACCCGCCAAAGGGGGGAUAAAGAU
rnacentral:rRNA from 1 species